CUCAGCUGAAAGCAUCGUGGACACCAACUCAAACAUCUUGAGGACCACUCUCAGGAGCCCGCCAUUCCUUCUCGAACCUCAGACCCUCCAACGCGGCCCCGAGGCUUCCGGUGCCUCUCCAUGGGCUGGAAGGGUAUAAAGCACCUUUAGGUGGCAGUAGGGGUGGGGGAGAUGGGAGCAGUGACGGCCAGCUGACACUGAGAAGGGCCGAGAAAGGGCACCUGCCUCUCCUCCUAGGCCUGCACGAGUCUAGGCCAGGGCCCUCCCAGGGGGCUUCCCCUCCUUGCUGUCCUGCUGGGGUCCUGCCUUGAUUCCUGUCUCCCAAGUGCCCCCACCUACCUCCAACACCUCCAGGAGAUACCAACACCUAUCUCCUUAGAUGCCCCUGUACCCACCCUGCGCCCCAAAUUCCUGGGUUGGGCAACUGGAACACUCUUGUAUCCGUCCCAUUCCAGUUCUCCCUCCCUGUGCCCGGGCUCCCUCUCUGUUUCGACAGACUCUCAGAC
rnacentral:lncRNA from 1 species